AUGAUUUUUCCCAAAAAUUCCACAUUUUCCCAAAAAUUCCACAUUUUUUCCCAAAAAUUCCACAUUUUUCCCAAAAAUUCCACAUUUUUCCCAAAAUUUCCCAAAAAUUCCACAUUUUCCCAAAAAUUCCACAUUUUUUCCCAAAAAUUCCACAUUUUUCCCAAAAAUUCCACAUUUUUCCCAAAAAUUCCACAUUUUUCCCCCAAAAUUCCACAUUUUUUCCCAAAAAUUCCACAUUUUCCCCAAAAAUUCCACAUUUUUCCCCCAAAAUUCCACAUUUUCUCCCAAGAAUUCCAUGUUUUUCCUGGGAAUUUCAGGUUUUUUACCAAAAAUUCCACGAUUUUCCCAAAAAUUCUGCGUCUUUUCCUGAGAAAUCCGAGUUUUCCCUGGGAAUUCAAUGGUUUUCCCAAAAAAUUCUGCAUUUUUUCCCAAAAAUUCCACAUUUUCUCCCAAAAAUUCCACAUUUUUUCCCAAAAAAUUCCACAUUUUCCCCAAGAAUUCCACAUUUUUCCCAAAAAUUCCACAUUUUUCCCCAAGAAUUCCAUGUUUUUCCUGGGAACUCCGUAUUUUUUCCUGGGAAUUCCAUGGUUUUUCCCAAGAAUUCCACAUUUUUCCCCGGUAUUUCGCAUUUUUUUCCCAAAAAUUCCUCAUUUUUUUCCAGGAAUUUUGAGUUUUUUCCCCAAAAUUUUCUGUUUUUCCCAAGAAUUCCACAUUUUUUCCCCAAGAAUUCCACAUUUUUUCCAAGGAUUUUUGCAUUUUUUCCCGAAAUUUUCUCUUUUUCCCAAGAAUUCCACAUUUCUUCUCAAGAAUUCCACGUUUAUAUCCCAAAAAUUCCACAUUUCCCCCAGGAAUUCUGCGUUUUUCUCCAGGAAUUUUCUGUUUUCUCCCAAAAUUCCACAUUUCCCCCAGGAAUUCUCUCAUUUUUCCCAGGAAUUCUCUGUUUUUCCCAAAAAUACCACAUUUUUUCCCAAAAAUUCCACAUUUUUCCCCAGGAAUUCUCUCUUUUUCCCAGGAAUUCUCUCUUUUUCCCAGGAAUUCUCUGUUUUUUCCCAAGAAUUCCACAUUUUUUCCCAAAAAUUCCACAUUUCCCCCAGGAAUUCUCUCUUUUCCCCCAGGAAUUCUCUCUUUUCCCCCAGGAAUUCUCUCUUCUCUCCCAAGAAAUCCCGUAUUUUCCCCAGGAAUUCCGCCUUUUCCCCAGGAAUUAUCCGGACUCGGAGUCGCUGGUGUCGGAGGAGGAGGAGGAAGAGGAAGAGCUGCUCGAGUCCGAGCUGGAGCUGGAGGCGCUGAGCCGCGACGCCGCCGCCGCCGCCGCCGAUUCCGACGGGAAAAGGCGGGAAAUUCAGGGAAUUCCCGGGAAAAUUCCGGGAAAAUUCCCCGGGAAAUUCAGGGAAUUCCCGGGAAAAUUCCGGGAAAAUUCCCCGGGAAAUUCAGGGAAUUCCCGGGAAAAAUCCGGGAAAAUUCCCAGGAAAAUCCUGAGAAAAUCCCCCUGAAAAUUCAGGGAAAUACCCUGGGAAAUUCCCGGGAAAUUCC
rnacentral:lncRNA from 1 species